rnacentral:sRNA from 1 species
GACUUGGAGAGAGACUUUGUGCUUCAAUGUUUCAGAGAUGAGGUCUUGCUGGCCUUGAACUCCUGCACCCAAGAAAUCCUCCUGCCUCAGCUUCCCCAGUAGCUGGGACUACAGGUAUGUACCACUGUGCCCAGCUCAACGAAUACUUAUUGAGAGUGUACCAGGGGACACAAGGUUUUAGGUACUGGGGAUAUAACAGUGAACAAAGCCCAGGCAUGGUGGCUCAUGCCUGUAAUCCUAGCACUUUGGGAGGCUGAGGCGGGAGGAUCUCUUGAGUCCAGAAGUUUGAGAUCAGCCUGGGCAACACAGUGCCAUCUCAUCUAUCUAAAAGAUUUAAAAAUUAGCCAGGCAUGAUGGCGUGUGCCUAUAGUCCCAGCUUCCUAGUGAUACUAUGGAGGCUGAGGUGGGAGGAUUGCUUGAGCCUGGAAGGUUGAGGCUAUAGUGAGCCAUGGAAACGGAAUGAGACCCCAUCUCUAAAAACAAAAACAUGUACCAAACAGACACAGGGCUGCACUUAUGGAACUGACAUCCCAGUGGAAUAUUUAGAGAAGUCAGAUGUAUCACACUCAAAUUGUUUU